AGGGUGCGAGCGUUGUCCGGAAUUACUGGGCGUAAAGAGCUCGUAGGUGGUUUGUCGCGUUGUUCGUGAAAUCUCACGGCUUAACUGUGAGCGUGCGGGCGAUACGGGCAGACUUGAGUACUGCAGGGGAGACUGGAGUUCCUGGUGUAGCGGUGGAAUGCGCAGAUAUCAGGAGGAACACCGGUGGCGAAGGCGGGUCUCUGGGCAGUAACUGACGCUGAGGAGCGAAAGCGUGGGGAGCGAACAGGAUUAGAUACCCUGGUAGUCCACGCCGUAAACGGUGGGUACUAGGUGUGGGUUUCCUUCCUUGGGAUCCGUGCCGUAGCUAACGCAUUAAGUACCCCGCCUGGGGAGUACGGCCGCGAGGCUAAAACUCAAAGAAAUUGACGGGGGCCCGCACAAGCGGCGGAGCAUGUGGAUUAAUUCGAUGCAACGCGAAGAACCUUACCUGGGUUUGACAUGCACAGGACGCCGGCAGAGAUGUCGGUUCCCUUGUGGCCUGUGUGCAGGUGGUGCAUGGCUGUCG
rnacentral:rRNA from 1 species